rnacentral:snoRNA from 1 species
UUGCUGCCAAUUAAGCCACCCAUGCUUUUCUCCCAGUGGGGGCCCAGUGUGCAGUGGCCGCAAACCGCAGCCUUCUUGGCAGUGUGCGCAGCCUGGUGCCUGUAUGGGUUGUCCCAAGGGACCUUGAAGACAGCC